UGGGGAAUUUUGCACAAUGGGGGAAACCCUGAUGCAGCGACGCCGCGUGAUUUAGAAGGCCUUCGGGUUGUAAAAAUCUUUUUUACGGGAUGAAAAUGACAGUACCGUAAGAAUAAGGUCCGGCUAAUUACGUGCCAGCAGCCGCGGUAAUACGUAUGGACCGAGCGUUGUCCGGAAUCAUUGGGCGCAAAGGGUACGUAGGCGGCCUAGUAAGUUAGAAGUGAAAUAAUAUAGCUCAACUAUAUAAAGCUUUUAAAACUGCUAGGCUUGAGAGAUGGAAGGGAAAGUGGAAUUCCUAGUGUAGCGGUGAAAUGCGCAGAUAUUAGGAAGAAUACCGGUGGCGAAGGCGACUUUCUGGUCAUCAUCUGACGCUGAGGUACGAAAGCGUGGGUAGCAAACAGG
rnacentral:rRNA from 1 species